GCACACACGCACACUGCACGUUCAAUUCGGGUAACCCUCACCUUCGCCAAUCCUUUCGCGCACAAUCCUCACCUUCGCCAUUCUCACCUUCAACACUCAUCACCUACGACACUCAUCACCUUUGCCUUCUCAGCGUUGCUGUGACCGUCGCCACCCAGUCACCACUCACUGCCAGUCACCACUCACCACUCACCACUCACCACAUGGCUGUGCCACUCACCAGUCACCAGCUCACCACUCACCAGCUCACACUCUCAUCCUCACUCACACACACAAAAGAGGGAAAAAAUCAGAAAAGGGGAGAACGGGAAGAAGAAGAGAAGAAGAGAGGAGAGGGGAAGGAAGGAGAGGAUGACACCGGCUAGGGCUCCGCCGCGCAGACCAUUGUCGUUGCGUGCUCUGACCGUCGCCUCAGCAUCGCCAUCUCGUGCACUCACCGUCGCCGCUCAGCAUCAUCAUCGCGUGUGCUCACUGUAGCGUGCUCAGCAUCAUCGUCGUCGCUCAGCAUCGUCAUCGCCGCUCACCUGAGAAGAGCUAAUGCAGAUAGAAGCCAGAAAAUUGGGAAUUGCUUGGGUGCUUCAAAUUGGUUUUUGAGGGAGUGAUGAUAGUGAUAUUGCUGGAAGCCACGGGAACAAGAGAUGAGGGAAUAGUUGUUAAAGACCUCAGUUCUAAAUGGGAGUCUAGUGAUCAAAGUGGAAAGUGGCUAAAAUUGAAGCCUGAGUACAUUCAAGCUAGCGCUGAUCUGGAUGUGCUUAUCAUAGGUAAUCAUAGGAGGUUAUUAUGGCUCUGGACGAUGUGGAGGGGAGGUUGCUCAGUUCUUGGUGGGCCUUGCUGAGCGUCCAUCCCCAAAUACACAUCCCAAGCGGUUUAUCUCCUUCUGUAGAGUUGGUACUGGGCUUUCUGAUGAUGAGCUUGAUUCGUUAGUAACAACACUAAAACCUUACUUCCGGUGGGAUUAAUUUUAUUCUUUAUUCAUUUGGGUUCUUGGUGUGGUUAGGACAUGUUGCUUGGUCAUUGAACUUCUUAUGCACUUUGCCAGAUUGAAUCCGCACUUCCAACCUUGGCAAGACCGAUUAGGUCUUUAGAUCAAAAUGAAGAUGCUAUUGUGGGAUCUCUCAAGCAGAGCCUGGCUCAGCAUGAUGAAUUCUUGGCUCUCUUCAAUCUUGAAGACUAUUCUAUAUUGUGUAUUAUGAAUACUCAAUUAACUUCAUUCUAGUACUGAUGGAUCAUUAUUAUAAAGAUCACUAUUAUAAAUAUAUUUUAGU